rfam:Stegodyphus mimosarum contig161654, whole genome shotgun sequence.
GCCUUCGUGGUGUAGUGGUCAGCACACGCGACGCGUAAACAAGAGGUUCGUGGUUCGAUUCCCGGCGUGGGUA